rnacentral:misc_RNA from 1 species
CUGAAACCAUGGUUGUAACGGGUA